CGUGGGUAACCUGCCCAAGAGACUGGGACAACACCUGGAAACAGAUGCUAAUACCGGAUAACAACACUAGACGCAUGUCUAGAGUUUAAAAGAUGGUUCUGCUAUCACUCUUGGAUGGACCUGCGGUGCAUUAGCUAGUUGGUAAGGUAACGGCUUACCAAGGCAAUGAUGCAUAGCCGAGUUGAGAGACUGAUCGGCCACAUUGGGACUGAGACACGGCCCAAACUCCUACGGGAGGCAGCAG
rnacentral:rRNA from 1 species